rnacentral:misc_RNA from 1 species
ACAAACUUGGUCAUUUAGAGGAAGUAAAAGUCGUAACAAGGUAACCGUAGGUGAACCUGCGGUUGGAUCAUUACUGAACUGUGGAAAAAUGACCCCUUCGUGUGAACUGUAUUUUUUCUUUGGUGGCCCACAAAACAUGUUGGAGCGUUUUUUUUUUAAUGUACUUGCUUACUUGACUGAGGUCUUGGGAGUACGGUCAUUAUAAAAAGAACGCGACUUCGGGCCACCUAACUGUUAUUAAAUUCUUUGUUUUGAUGUAUAUUUUGUCUUUGUAUGAGUUGAAUCUCUAAUAAACAAAAACAACUUUUGACAAUGGAUCUCUUGGCUCUUGCAUCGAUGAAGAACGCAGC